UAUUUAUACGGUCCCUCCAGGACUCUAACUGGGAAAAGCCACUUCUUAAGGCACCAGCUCCCUUUGGUGGCUGCUCCUUCCAGCAGAGAGAGGCACUUGUGUUCGGCCCAGGAGUGCUGCCAACGAUGACAAGAGAGCAGAGAAAGUUGGAGUGAUCGAGACAAGUUUCAGCUGUGUUCAUGAGCAGGAAAAGCUACACCACAGACAUGUAACACAGAAAAUCUGCAAACAGAAAUACAGCCUGAGACUUGAGCAACUCGAGCGGGCAUCUCGCCUUUGUGCUUCAAGUCACAGUAGACUGACAUUUGUGAUUUGUGUCCACAAAAAGGAAGGCUUGGAAGCAAGCUGCAGAGCAAGCCUGCAAUGUCUAAGUGGGAUGGAGUGAGGUGGAGGUGUCUUUAUUUCCAUAUAUAGUAUUGAUGAGUGCAACUGGCAUAUAGCAUUCAGCUUUGUAACCACAUCCUAAAUCAGACAGGAUACGAAAAGAGCCUCGGAAUGAAGACUGGGGUUGGAAGGAGGACUUUAGAGGAAGAAGAUACAUUUGCUCUGUCCAGCUGACCAAAAAAAGAUUGAGAGGUGACUUGUUUACAGCAUCCACAUACUUUCAUGGUUCUUUUGUGUAUAAUGAGCAACUGAAGGCGGCCAGGGGCUGAGGCACUAGUGAAGAAGGAAGAAUGC